rnacentral:rRNA from 1 species
UACGGAGGGUGCAAGCGUUAUCCGGAUUCACUGGGUUUAAAGGGUGCGUAGGUGGGUUGGUAAGUCAGUGGUGAAAUCUCCGAGCUUAACUUGGAAACUGCCAUUGAUACUAUCAGUCUUGAAUCAUUGUGGAGGUCAGCGGAAUAUGUCAUGUAGCGGUGAAAUGCUUAGAUAUGACAUAGAACACCAAUUGCGAAGGCAGCUGGCUACACAUAUAUUGACACUGAGGCACGAAAGCGUGGGGAUCAAACAGG